rnacentral:rRNA from 1 species
GAUGAACGCUAGCGGCAGGCUUAAUACAUGCAAGUUGAGGGGCAGCAUGAUAUACGCGAGUAUAUUGAUGGCGACCGGCGGACGGGUGAGUAAUAGGUAGGAGACCUACCUCAUACAGGGGGAUAGCAUAGAGAAAUCUGUGGUAAUACCCCAUGAGGUUAUAUGAAUAGAGGCAUAUAAUCAAAGCAUAAGUGAUUAUGCGGUAUGAGAGGGGCCUACUGACCAUUAGCUAGUUGGUGAGGUAAGGGCUCACCAAGGCGAAGAUGGUUAGGGGUUUUGAGAGAGAGACCCCCCACAUUGGAACUGAGAGACGGUCCAGACUCCUACGGGAGGCAGCAGUAGGGAAUUUUCCACAAUGGGCGAAAGCCUGAUGCAGCGACGCCGCGUGAGGGAUGACGGCCUUCGGGUUGUAAACCUCUUUCAGCAGGGAAGAAGCGAAAGUGACGGUACCUGCAGAAGAAGCACCGGCUAACUACGUG